rnacentral:rRNA from 1 species
GACGAACCGGACGAACGUUAUUCGGAAUUACUGGGCUUAAAGGGUUCGUAGGCGGCCUUGUAAGUGAGAUGUGAAAUCCCUCGGCUCAACCGAGGAAGUGCAUUUCAUACUGCAAGGCUUGAGGGAGACAGAGGUAAGCGGAACUGAUGGUGGAGCGGUGAAAUGUGUUGAUAUCAUCAGGAACACCGGUGGCGAAAGCGGCUUACUGGGUCUCUUCUGACGCUGAGGAACGAAAGCUAGGGGAGCGAACGGG